AGAGUUUGAUCAUGGCUCAGAUUGAACGCUGGCGGCAGGCCUAACACAUGCAAGUCGAGCGGAUGAAGGGAGCUUGCUCCUGGAUUCAGCGGCGGACGGGUGAGUAAUGCCUAGGAAUCUGCCUGGUAGUGGGGGACAACGUUUCGAAAGGAACGCUAAUACCGCAUACGUCCCACGGGAGAAAGCAGGGGACCUUCGGGCCUUGCGCUAUCAGAUGAGCCUAGGUCGGAUUAGCUAGUUGGUGAGGUAAUGGCUCACCAAGGCGACGAUCCGUAACUGGUCUGAGAGGAUGAUCAGUCACACUGGAACUGAGACACGGUCCAGACUCCUACGGGAGGCAGCAGUGGGGAAUAUUGGACAAUGGGCGAAAGCCUGAUCCAGCCAUGCCGCGUGUGUGAAGAAGGUCUUCGGAUUGUAAAGCACUUUAAGUUGGGAGGAAGGGUUGUAGAUUAAUACUCUGCAAUUUUGACGUUACCGACAGAAUAAGCACCGGCUAACUCUGUGCCAGCAGCCGCGGUAAUACAGAGGGUGCAAGCGUUAAUCGGAAUUACUGGGCGUAAAGCGCGCGUAGGUGGUUCGUUGAGUUGGAUGUGAAAUCCCCGGGCUCAACCUGGGAACUGCAUCCAAAACUGGCGAGCUAGAGUAUGGUAGAGGGUGGUGGAAUUUCCUGUGUAGCGGUGAAAUGCGUAGAUAUAGGAAGGAACACCAGUGGCGAAGGCGACCACCUGGACUGAUACUGACACUGAGGUGCGAAAGCGUGGGGAGCAAACAGGAUUAGAUACCCUGGUAGUCCACGCCGUANCGAUGUCGACUAGCCGUUGGAAUCCUUGAGAUUUUAGUGGCGCAGCUAACGCAUUAAGUCGACCNCCU
rnacentral:rRNA from 1 species